AGAGUUUGAUCAUGGCUCAGAUUGAACGCUGGCGGCAGGCCUAACACAUGCAAGUCGAGCGGCAGCACGGGUACUUGUACCUGGUGGCGAGCGGCGGACGGGUGAGUAAUACCUAGGAAUCUGCCUGGUAGUGGGGGAUAACGUUCGGAAACGGACGCUAAUACCGCAUACGUCCUACGGGAGAAAGCAGGGGACCUUCGGGCCUUGCGCUAUCAGAUGAGCCUAGGUCGGAUUAGCUAGUUGGUGAGGUAAUGGCUCACCAAGGCUACGAUCCGUAACUGGUCUGAGAGGAUGAUCAGUCACACUGGAACUGAGACACGGUCCAGACUCCUACGGGAGGCAGCAGUGGGGAAUAUUGGACAAUGGGCGAAAGCCUGAUCCAGCCAUGCCGCGUGUGUGAAGAAGGUCUUCGGAUUGUAAAGCACUUUAAGUUGGGAGGAAGGGCCGUUACCUAAUACGUGAUGGUUUUGACGUUACCGACAGAAUAAGCACCGGCUAACUCUGUGCCAGCAGCCGCGGUAAUACAGAGGGUGCAAGCGUUAAUCGGAAUUACUGGGCGUAAAGCGCGCGUAGGUGGUUCGUUAAGUUGGAUGUGAAAUCCCCGGGCUCAACCUGGGAACUGCAUUCAAAACUGUCGAGCUAGAGUAUGGUAGAGGGUGGUGGAAUUUCCUGUGUAGCGGUGAAAUGCGUAGAUAUAGGAAGGAACACCAGUGGCGAAGGCGACCACCUGGACUGAUACUGACACUGAGGUGCGAAAGCGUGGGGAGCAAACAGGAUUAGAUACCCUAGUAGUCC
rnacentral:rRNA from 1 species